rnacentral:rRNA from 1 species
GACGAACGCUGGCGGCGUGCCUAAUACAUGCAAGUUGAGCGCUGAAGGUUGGUACUUGUACCAACUGGAUGAGCAGCGAACGGGUGAGUAACGCGUGGGGAAUCUGCCUUUGAGCGGGGGACAACAUUUGGAAACGAAUGCUAAUACCGCAUAAAAACUUUAAACACAAGUUUUAAGUUUGAAAGAUGCAAUUGCAUCACUCAAAGAUGAUCCCGCGUUGUAUUAGCUAGUUGGUGAGGUAAAGGCUCACCAAGGCGAUGAUACAUAGCCGACCUGAGAGGGGGAUCGGCCACAUUGGGACUGAGACACGGCCCAACCUCCUACGGGAGGCAGCAGUAGGGAAUCGUCGGCAAUGGACGAAAGUCUGACCGAGCAACGCCGCGUGAGUGAAGAAGGUUUUCGGAUCGUAAAACUCUGUUGGUAGAGAAGAACGUUGGUGAGAGUGGAAAGCUCAUCAAGUGACGGUAACUACCCAGAAAGGGACGGCUAACUACGUG